rfam:Picea glauca, whole genome shotgun sequence.
GGGAUUGUAGUUCAGUUGGUUAGAGUAUCGCUUUGUCAAGACGAAAGUUGCGGUUUCGAGCCCCGUCAGUCCCG